AGUCCACGAGUCAUAAAAGAGCCAAGGUUAACUACCCCUGGGGUAAAUUGUGAGGCUAUGAAUCCUAAGCACAUUCAUAGCCUUACAUACUUGAAAGUGCCUUUUGCUGAACUUAGAGGGUCUCACAUCCUGAUUUAGAAUUGGCCCACUAAUAUGCUAAAAUGAAUGUGCUCGAAGCAACUGUGGCAAUGACAGCAUCUUUACUGACAGCAUCUUUACCCUGCGAGAGGCUGCUUCAUUCCCAUUGAAUCAAGCAGCCAGACUGUACCUAGAUACACUGUUAGUGUUUAUAACUUAAUGCUGCAUUUGGCCCGUCAAAACUUUCCAUUGCUAUGAAGAUGAUCCUCAUGGCUGAGUUUUCCAGUCAGCCAGAGCAAUUUUUCCAGGUCUCCAAGUGGUGCCCUCGCACAGUGAGGAAUAAGUCCUCUUCUGCUGGGUCUUCUCUUGCAUACAGCCCUAACCCUUUCCUUAUCUCAGUGUUGUUCACUGUCCUUUUUAAGCGUUUCUUGCCGAUACGUGCAAGCUGAGUUUGGCAGCCUCUGUGAUCUGAGUUCUGGAACAAGGGUUGUGGCCCCAAAUGGGGGUCAGAAGAAGAAAAAAAGAACCGACUUAACGCCUAUUAGCCACUACCAUUGUAUCAGAUGUGUUAAUAAUCGGGUUUGCUAAUGCAAUUGCUACCACGACGGGAAAAUCCGACUGGAAAAUGUAUUAGAGCAAUUAUCCCUCUUACUACCUCAGCCUGGUGUAGCAUUAAUAUUCAAUUUUGAUGUGGAAGUCCUAUUAUGUUAAUGACUUUUGUGACAAAAGUCGUUAAUGUAAGACUUUUUCCUGAACAGCACAGCGUUAGCUAGGUUGAAUAGCAACGUGACAUUGGGUAAGUCUAAUAAGAUAAAACAGAAACAUUCCAUCGGUGCCCUGCACAGUUUCUUAACGUAUUCCAAAAAUGCUAGCGAGAGCUGCCUUACCUUGCUGCAAUGGGGAAUGAUAUACACUACAAAGUCAAUAAUUCGACAAGACUCUGCCUUGUCUAGUGAGAGCUCCGGUUCCUCAAAACCACAGCCUGUUAUUAGCAUCUCAAAUAAAAGCCUGUGGCAAAGGCAGUUUGUUGCAGCUCUAUGAUUAUAGAAAUAGCCUGUCCAGUUGUACUACAGGGCUGUUUAAUUUGGUGUCCCUUGGAGCAAGGCUUGCAAGCUGCACCUCAUUACAAGACAUAUCAAGCUGUUUCCUUCACCCCCAAUUUCUGAGCCUCCUGCCUAAGUGUGCUGUUCUAAAUUACAGGUGUUCCAAAAGCUGAAUGAGGAAAGGAAGUCACGGAGAAGGAAACUUUGCAGAUAGCUCUGAACUACAUGUCAGGUUGACCUACUAGUCACGGCCCACCAUUCAUUUUGCACAGACCUGCCAAUGGAGCCCAGCACCAUGGAUGGAUUUUCCCCUCUCAAAAACUGCUACCGAGAUACCUUCCAGAUUGAUGGUAUGGCUGCGAAUGAUGGCAACUGUAGUCCUUCACAUUUGUGUGAAGAAGCUCAUUUUAUUCUCAGCAUCCACCAACCUCAGCUCAUUUUGAGCAUUAGCCUUUUGGAUACCAUCUCUAUCAUUCCAAUUUAUCUGUUUAUACCACUAUCCACCCUGUGUGUAUUAUUUUUGGUUUUUAGAUUUCCACUGUGUAUGUGUAUGUGUAACUACAUUGGCUUCUUCUGCUAUCCUCUACUUUUUUCCUUAUUCAAAUUUCUUGUCGCUCUGUUUCUAGAAUCACCUUUUCAAGGAAACUCCUACACAUGGUGAGUUCCCCCCCCCCAAUAGCUUCUUUUGCAAUGGAAGCUUAAUUAGAACUACUCCCAAGUUUAUUAAAAUUCACCGUCUUGAAAUUCAAAAUACAUGUUUCAUUAGCCUGAGUUUUAUUUUUCCUUAAAAUCAAGCACUCCAGCACUUCAUAGUUAAUGUACUUCUACUUCCACUUCCACAACUAAGCCUUUUGUACCACUUAAAGGUAAAGGUUUCCCCUGUCCAGUUGUGUCUGACUCUAGGGGGCAAUACUCAUCUCUGUUGCUUAGCCAAGGGCAUUGUCCAAAGAAAUUCUGUGGGUCAUGUGGCCAGCAUGACUAUAUGCCAAGGUGCACGGAUUGUUGUUACCUUCCCAUUGAAGUGGUACUUACUUAUCUACUCUCAUUUGCAUGCUUUCAAACUGCUACCGUGUUUCUCUGAAAGUAAGGCUUACACCAAAAAUAAGCCUAGCUUGAUUUUUGGGGGUGGGCCUAAUAUAAGCCCUACCUCAAAAAUAAGCCCUAGUUUUGGGGCGAGGAAAACACCUAAAAAUCAAGCUAGGGCAGGGGGGGGGAAUGGAACUGCCCCACCUGCCCCGCACCCACUUAUCUUGCAGCCAAGCCUCUCCUUGUCAGCCCACUUCUUCUUCUGAGGCCUCUUCUGCAGCCAUACCUGCAUUUCU